UUCAUACUUUCAACUUAAUCUCCAUACAAAAAGUGCAAGUCUUAUUCUCGUGGUCGUCGGAGGUUGUGGGUUAGGAGCGGAGUUCGUGGGCUAGGAGCGCGCCAAGUAAGAAUCUACUCGGCACCCAAAUGAAUCCAGAUGAAGAAAAUUUCGAUGAUGACAAUGUCGAUGAUGACAUUGAUGAUAUUCCACCACCACCGGGUGUCGGACGCGGAGGACGCGGACGC